AUAGCACGAAAAUUCCAAUCUUCAAAUUUCAAGUUCCAAAUAAGUUCCAAUGACCAAAUUUCAAACUCGUCUCUGUUUUGAGUUUCGAAAUUGUCAUUUGAGAUUUAUUUGGAGCUUGAUAUUUUGGAUUUGGUGCUUUCGUGCUGUGCGCGGCGGUAGGAGAGCGUUCCUUGUGCGCUGAAGCGUGCAUCGCGAGAUGGCGUGGAGCGCAGGGAAGUGAGAAUGUUGGCAUGAGUAACCGCAAUGCAUGUGAAAUCCAUGCACACCGAAAGUCCAAGGUUUCCCGGGCAACGGCGAUCGUCCCGGGGUUAGUCGGUCCUAAGGCGAGGCCGAAAGGCGUAGUCGAUGGCAAAUCGGUUAAUAUUCCGAUACUAUAGAACACAUUCGAUGGAGUGACGCAUUCUAGUAUUCUUCGCGCAUUAUUGGAUUUGUGUAGAGAUAUUGAGGGCGCCGGGUAGGCAAAUCCGCUCGGCAUUCUCCCAAGAUAUUUCUGGACGUUCGGAUUCGUCCGAAUGAACGAAGAGGAGCAGGGUGCCAGGAAAAACUUCUCAGGUUCGUGUGUUCAUAACCGUACUAAAACCGACACAGGUGGACUGGGCGAGGAGCCCAAGGUGAACGGGAGAACCUUCGUUAAGGAACUCGGCAAAAAAGCUAGGCGUACGUUUGCAAUAUGCCUUGCCCGUCGCAAGACGGGCCGCAGCGAAAGUUUCCCAAGCGACUGUUUACCAAAAACACAGGUCUCUGCAAACCCGCAAGGGGAAGUAUAGGGGCUGACGCCUGACCAGUGCUGGAACGUUAACGGGAGCGGUUUACGCCAAUCCCCGAAGCGCCAGUGAACGUCGGCGAUAACUAUAAUCGUCCUAAGGUAGCGAAAUUCCUUGUCAGGUAAAUUCUGACCCGCAUCAAAGGCGUAACGAUUUGGGAACUGUCUCAACGAAGGACCCGGUGAAAUCGCAAUGACGGUAAAGAUGCCGUCAACCUACAGUUAGACGAAAAGACCCCGUGGAGCUUUACUAUAACUUGGUAUUGAAUAGAAGUUGUGGUUGCCGAGAUUAGGUGGGAGGCUAUGAAGUCCCGAUUCCGGUCGGGAUGGAGCCAACAAGUGGAAUACCACCCUGCUUCGAUUUUUAUUCUAACCCUGGGCCGUUAGUUGGUUUCUACGAUAACCGAGUAUACUCUUUUGAGUAUACUUCGGUUGAGUUUAUCGUGUUCAAGUGUUCAAUAUCGUUCUAGAAAUCAGCUACCGGUCCGGGGACAGUGCCUGGUGGGUAGUUUGACUGGGGCGGUCGCCUCCUAAAAGGUAACGGAGGCGUUUACAAAGGUAGGCUAGGUCCGGAUGGAAAUCGGGCCGAUAGCGCAAAAGCACAAGCCUGCUUUACUGAAAGACCCAUACGUCGAUCAGUCACGAAAGUGGAAUUUAGUGAACCGACCAUCCCUCGUAGGAGGGUGGAAGAUCAACAGAUAAAAGUUACCCCGGGGAUAACAGGCUAAUCACUCCCAAGAGUCCACAUCGACGGAGUGGUUUGGCACCUCGAUGUCGGCUCAUCGCAUCCUGGGGCUG
rnacentral:rRNA from 1 species